GUGCGGUCAUAAAAACAACCUUUUUGAACAUUGGCUUUGCCAACAGCACCAAAGGCGUAAAUAAAUCGCUUUAGUGAUUGAUGAAUAAUUUUUGGAGAA
rnacentral:ncRNA from 1 species